rnacentral:rRNA from 1 species
UACGUAGGGUGCGAGCGUUGUCCGGAAUUACUGGGCGUAAAGAGCUCGUAGGUGGUUUGUCGCGUUGUUCGUGAAAUCUCACGGCUUAACUGUGAGCGUGCGGGCGAUACGGGCAGACUAGAGUACUGCAGGGGAGACUGGAAUUCCUGGUGUAGCGGUGGAAUGCGUAGAUAUCCGGAGGAACACCAGUGGCGAAAGCGGCCACCUGGACUGCACCUGACGCUGACACGCGAAAGCUAGGGGAGCGAACGGG